UACGGAGGGAGCUAGCGUUGUUCGGAAUUACUGGGCGUAAAGCGCACGUAGGCGGUUAUUCAAGUCAGAGGUGAAAGCCCGGAGCUCAACUCCGGAAUUGCCUUUGAAACUAGAUAACUUGAAUCACGGAGAGGUGGGUGGAAUUCCGAGUGUAGAGGUGAAAUUCGUAGAUAUUCGGAAGAACACCAGUGGCGAAGGCGGCCCACUGGACGUGUAUUGACGCUGAGGUGCGAAAGCGUGGGGAGCAAACAGG
rnacentral:rRNA from 1 species